rnacentral:SRP_RNA from 1 species
GCCGGGCGCGGUGGCUCACGCCUGUAAUCCCAGCACUUUGGGAGGCUGAGGCUGGUGGAUCACCUGAGGUCAGGAGUUCUAGACCAGCCUGGCCAACAUGGUGAAACCCCGUCUCUA